rnacentral:rRNA from 1 species
GCAUAUCAAUAAGCGGAGGAAAAGAAACCAACAGGGAUUGCCCCAGUAACGGCGAGUGAAGCGGCAAGAGCUCAAAUUUGAAAUCUGGCUCCCCUUGGGGGGUCCGAGUUGUAAUUUGUAGAGGAUGCUUCGGGUGUGGCCGCCGUCUAAGUUCCUUGGAACAGGACGUCACAGAGGGUGAGAAUCCCGUCUUGGGCGGCCGGUCCGCGCCCGUGUGAAGCUCCUUCGACGAGUCGAGUUGUUUGGGAAUGCAGCUCUAAGCGGGUGGUAAAUUUCAUCUAAAGCUAAAUACUGGCCGGAGACCGAUAGCGCACAAGUAGAGUGAUCGAAAGGUUAAAAGCACCUUGAAAAGGGAGUUAAACAGCACGUGAAAUUGUUGAAAGGGAAGCGCUUGCGGCCAGACUCGGGGGCGGGGUUCAGCGGGCGCUCGUCGCCCGUGCACUCCCCGUCUCCCGGGCCAGCAUCAGUUUCGACGGCCGGUCAAAGGCCCCCGGAAUGUGUCGUCUCUCGGGACGUCUUUAUAGCCGGGGGUGCAAUGCGGCCCGCCGGGACUGAGGAACGCGCUUCGGCCCGGAUGCUGGCGUAAUGGCCGUAAGCGGCCCGUCUUGAAACACGGACCAA